rnacentral:rRNA from 1 species
CCAAAUGGGUGGUAAACAUCACCUAAGGCUAAAUAUUGGCGAGAGACCGAUAGCGAACAAGUACCGUGAGGGAAAGAUGAAAAGAACUUUGAAAAGAGAGUUAAACAGUACGUGAAAUUGUUGAAAGGGAAACGAUUGAAGUCAGUCGUGCUGGCGCGAAAUCAACCUUCUCGUCUUGAGAUCACAUGGCGUGGCGAGCCUCAAAACCGUUACGAAGCGUGAACUCUUGGUGAAAUGGAGCACUUUCGUGUCCGCUGGUUAACUUCAAUUUCGAACGUCAUAAAAAGGCUGGAGGGAUGUGGCUCCUUCGGGAGUGUUAUAACCUUUAGCGGAAUGUGGUGUUCGGGAUUGAGGAUUGCAACGAAUACCUUUAGGGCUGUUCCACCUGGCUUCUCUUUGGUAUCCUGGUGACGACAGCUUGCUGACGUCGUUAGGAUUCGCCUUUGAACAGGUUAGAGUGUGAGCAAA